AGCGAACGCUGGCGGCAGGCUUAACACAUGCAAGUCGAACGAAGUCUUCGGACUUAGUGGCGGACGGGUGAGUAACACGUGGGAACGUACCUUUUGGUUCGGGAUAACACAGGGAAACUUGUGCUAAUACCGAAUGUGCCCUUAGGGGGAAAGAUUUAUCGCCAUUAGAGCGGCCCGCGUUAGAUUAGCUAGUUGGUGGGGUAAAGGCUCACCAAGGCUACGAUCUAUAGCUGGUCUGAGAGGAUGAUCAGCCACACUGGGACUGAGAGACGGCCCAGAAUCCUACGGGAGGCAGCAGUGGGGAAUCUUGCGCAAUGGUCGAAAGACUGACGCAGCCAUGCCGCGUGAAUGAUGAAGGUCUUAGGAUUGUAAACUUCUUUUACCAGGGACGAUAAUGACGGUACCUGGAGAAAAAGCUCCGGCUAACUUCGUGCCAGCCGCCGCGGUAAAAC
rnacentral:rRNA from 1 species